rnacentral:rRNA from 1 species
UGUAUGUUUUAUUCUGGCUUUGAGUAAAUGCUAAUAGUUCGCUUAACACAUGCUAGUUGAUUAAAUUUUAAAAUUUAAAAUUAAUGGCGUAAGGGUGAGUAAUAUAUAAAAACGGGACAUAUAUUUACGUUAGUAAUAUAAACUGGUUUAUAGAGAUUUAGGUAGUUGGAAGUUUAAAAGACUAACAAGCCGAUAAUUCUUAGUUGAUCUUAGAAGGAGGUACAACCACAUUGGGAAUGAGAAGAGGCCCAAGUUCCAUUUGGAGGCAGCAGUGAGGAAUAUUGAACAAUGAGCGAAAGCUUGAUUCAGCGAAACUAUCUGAAUUAUGACAAUUUAUUGAAAAAUUCUUGUUUAAGCAAACAUAAUGAGUUUAGACUUAAGAAUAAGCAUCGACUAACUUCGUGCCAGCAGUCGCGGUGAUACGGAGGAUGCGGGUGUUACUCAGCAUUACUGGGCGUAAAGCGUAUGAUAAGUGGUUUAUUUUUUAAUAAUAUAAUUUUAAAUAUUUUAUUAGUAAUAAUUAAUGAAUUAUAUAUUAGUAAACUAAGAGUAUUAUUCAGACAUAUAGUAUUCAUAGAGGAAAGGUGAAAUUUUAUGAUACUAUGGAGACUAUCAGAUGGUGAAAGCUAUAUGUUAGAUAUAUACUGACACUAAAGUACGAAGGUAUGGGGAGCAAAGAGGAUUAGAGACCCUUGUAGUCCAUACAGACAACGAUGGGUGCUAACUGUAGGAAUUAUUCUUGUGGUUUAGCUAACGCGUAAGCAUCCCGCCUGGGGAGUAUGAUCGCAAGAUUUGAACUCAAAGAAAGUGGCUGAGAUUUGGUACGAACGGUGGAACAUGUGGUUUAAUCUGAUAUAACGCAUAAAAUCUUACCAAUUCUAGAUUAGAAAAAAUUAUAAUAAAUAUAGUAAAUUUUAUAUAAUUUUUUUAAGCAGGUGUCGCAUGGCUGUCGUCAGCUCGUGUAGUGAUAUGUAUGGUUAGGUCCUGUAACGAGUGUAAUCCUUACAAUAUAAUGAUUUUAAUUUAUAUAAAUAAAUCAAUUUAUUAUUUUUUUAUAUAAAAAGAAGUCAUUAUAUUGGAUUAUUAAUUAUAUAUUAAAUGAAAUAAAGGAGGACGUCAAGUAGGUAUGGCCCUGAUGAAUUGGGCUACACACGUGUUACAAAAAUAAUUACAAAAUAAAAAUAAAUUGUAAAAUUUAUUUAUACUAAAAGUUAUUUUAGUUCGGAUUAUUUUUUGAAAUUAAAAAUAUGAAGUUGAAAUCGUCAGUAAUCGAAAAUUAGAAUAUUUCGGUGAAAUGGGAUCCAAAUCUAGUACACACUGCCCGUCACGCCAAGAAAGCUGAUAAUAUUGGAAAAAUUAUAAAUUUUUAUAUAAUUUUUUUAUAUCUUUCUUAUUAAUUGUCAUUAACUUACUUUGAAGUAAUUAGUAUUAA